rnacentral:rRNA from 1 species
AUUGAACGCUGGCGGAAUGCUUUACACAUGCAAGUCGAACGGUAAGGCCCUUCGGGGUACACGAGUGGCGAACGGGUGAGUAACACGUGGGUGAUCUGCCCUGCACUUCGGGAUAAGCCUGGGAAACUGGGUCUAAUACCGGAUAGGACUCCGGACUGCAUGGUCUGGGGUGGAAAGCUUUUGCGGUGUGGGAUGGGCCCGCGGCCUAGCAGCUUGUUGGUGAGGUGAUGGCCUACCAAGGCGACGACGGGUAGACGGCCUGAGAGGGUGACAGGCCACACUGGGACUGAGAUACGGCCCAGACUCCUACGGGAGGCAGCAGUGGGGAAUAUUGCACAAUGGGCGCAAGCCUGAUGCAGCGACGCCGCGUGAGGGAUGACGGCCUUCGGGUUGUAAACCUCUUUCGCCAGGGACGAAGCGCAAGUGACGGUACCUGGAGAAGAAGGACCGGCCAACUACGUGCCAGCCGCCGCCGUAA